UCAAAGAAACGUCAAAACAUUCACCCUCUUGGUUUUGAAGGUUUUGUAGCGCGUGGUGAAAAGUACCAUUUAUUUAUUUUCCAGUAAACUAAAGUUUUAGGUAUGUGCGAAGCAUUGCCAGUAGAUAUCAAUCUUGAUUCAAGUAAGUAUACUGACGAUGACAUCGUUGAUCCCUGGACGGUUACUAGUAAAUCUGAAAGUGGUGUGGAUUAUGAUAAAUUGAUCAAACGAUUUGGUUGCUCGUAUAUUGACAAAAAAUUGAUUGAGCGGAUGGAGAGUAUAUCAGGAAAACCGGUUCAUCCAAUGAUCAGAAGAGGUAUAUUUUUCUCCCAUCGUGAUUUACACACACUGUUGAGUAUGAUUGAGACUGGUAACAAUUUUUAUUUGUACACCGGUCGAGGCCCAUCAUCCGAAUCGAUGCAUGUGGGUCAUCUUGUGCCUUUUAUUGUUACAAAAUGGCUUCAGGAGACAUUUGAUGUUCCACUGGUAAUCCAGAUGACAGAUGAUGAAAAGACGUUAUGGAAAGAUUUGACCGUGGAACAGUCGAUGAAAAUGGCGCGUGAAAAUGCCAAGGAUAUUAUCGCAAUAGGGUUCGACGUAAACAAGACGUUUAUCUUUGCAAACCUAGAUUAUAUGGGACGUUGUUCUGCAUUUUACCAAAAUGUAAUACGCAUUCAAAAGUGCGUAACCUUCAACCAGGUGAAAGGAAUUUUUGGCUUUAAUGAUUCUGAUGUGAUAGGAAAGAUCGGUUUUCCGGCAACACAGGCUGCGCCAGCAUUUUCCACAACUUUCCCGUUUAUUUUCGGUGAUGAUAAAGUACCAGUAUUAAUUCCUUGUGCGAUCGAUCAGGAUCCAUAUUUUCGUAUGACUAGAGAUGUUUCUCCGCGAUUGGGGUUUAUAAAACCUGCGCUCAUACAUUCUUGCUUCUUUCCGGCUCUGCAAGGACCAAAGACAAAAAUGUCUGCAAGUGACGUCAAUUCGGCUGUGUUUCUGACUGAUACACCAAAACAAAUAAAAAACAAGAUAAAUAAACAUGCGUUUUCCGGAGGACGACCAACACAGGAAGAGCAUCGCAAACACGGUGGCAAUACUGAUACUGAUGUUAGUUAUCAGCUACUACGGUUCUUCCUCUAUGACGAUGAGAAGCUUGAAUCUAUCAGAAUUGCAUAUAACAAGGGUGAGUUGCUAAGUGGCGAGAUAAAAAAAAUUGCCAUAGAAACACUACAACCGAUUGUAGCAAACCACCAGGCAAAGCGAAAGGAGGUGACUGAGGAUAUCUUGGAUCAAUAUAUGACACCGAGGAAAUUGAAUUAUGAAUUCAACGUAAAAUUUAAACCACAGUAGCACAUGAAAUGGUACGAUUCUUUGAAGCUAAACUGCUUCUACUCUAAAAAUAAUGCACACGAUAAAAGUAUAUGCAACUAAAUAUCACUUUCAUGUUAGAAAAUAAAACAAAUGGAAACCCAUUAAAAUGCUUCUCAUGUGGUGUUUCAAAUUAUAUUCAAACAAAUUCGCGUGAAAAAAUGUAGUGCAUUUCUGUAAAGCUAUUGAUUUCGCCGUUUAUUCUACACUGCAAAUAAUCCACACAUUGAACUCAGGUGUUUAAAACUUAAUUUUGCAGCAACUGGCUUCACAAGACAUGUGUGUAAAUGUUAAUUUCCAUAUGGCAAGAAUUUAAAUAAAGAUAUUAUUUCGGCUGCCUCUGCACUCCUUGCUGUCGUUCGAUUUCGUUCACGUGGCUUCGUGGAUUGUCAACUCGUUGGUAGCGAGCCGCGUGGCUUGUUUCGAUAUUUCACCUGUUGCUAUGGGCCUUGGUUGCGUUUAGCUGACCUCGCAUCUGCGUGGUGACUUCAGACGAAAAUAAAGCAACAAAAUAAUUAAACCGUUGACGUUGGCUGCAAAGGUGAAACGUAUAUUCGGUAAUAAACUGCAAAAUUAGCGCUGCUUUCCAGAGCACCCUCGAAUGAUCGAUACCUGUUUUGUCAGACAAAGCGCUCCCUAAAAUCAAAACGUCUUCCCUUGCCUAGUAUGAAGGAUAGUGCAGCAAAAAUGUUAACGCGAAUUUCAUGUAUUUGGUUAGCACGACAUUAAUCGAUUGAACAUAUUAAAAGUAUAAAUCAAGCGUCUUUGGCAAUGAUGAUUUUAGUAUCUUAUAAAUAAAAACAAAAUAUGAUUAGAAGUCCACGUCCAGCCCGAUGGCGCUUUAUCGUGUUCAUGGAAGUCCACCUGAUUCAGAAAUAGUUGAACAGCACACAGUUAUCGCUCCCUAUUCUGCGCGGCGUGUGACGGGAGACGACUAAUCUCACCUUACUUUCCGUUACUUUUCUCGCCCGAUUCUGAGGUCGGCUCGGGUGAGGUGUGUUUGAUGCCCUAUUUCCUCGGUUUCGCUGAUCUCGCCAGCGUUGUCUGAUGCGGCACACGCUGGUUAAAGUGAUAGGGCUACGAUGACGUCGUUACUACAGACACUAUAUACACAGACUAGCGGAGAGAAAACCAGUAAAACUAGCAACCAUGAAAAAGACUAUAUAUAAACUGACCUCACUGCAAAUCGAGCAAACUUCAUAUGAACGCUUCAAAAAACUUCUUUAUUGUAGAAAAGAUUGUUUUGAAGUGUCGUCAAAAAAAAUCGCUAACGUUUUCGAAAAAAAAACAUCAAAAGUUCGGUGGAAUAGUUAAAAUGUAUUGUUUUACAAAUAUUGCACAAAUAAUUCACGAUCUGGAGUACGAUACAUGGAGUUUUUCCGUUUCCCUUGCGAAAAGGCGGAGCGUAGAAAGUGGCUAGCGUUUUGUGAGCUUCCAGAAGAUUUCCAAAUACUGGGAAGCCAUCGUUUGUGCAGUUACAUUUUGUCGAAUGCGAUUUGUAUAUGGAUUCCAGCGGUAAGAUUCGGAAAGGUAUACAUGCUGUUCCCUUCUACAAGACGGUUGCCCAAGUCAGCCAACGCAGGCGUAAACGCAACGAUUCCGUCAUGGACGAUAUCAAUGAAUUUGCGACGAUGUUAAAAACGAAAAAAAAAAUAUCGAAGAAUUUCGAUGAAAGCGAGUGUGGAAGUGAUACUGGAAAUUCGUCAAGUACAGUACAUUUGACAUACUAUCUUCUAAUUGUUUUCAAACAGGAUUUUUCGAAGAUGGAGCAACUGGUUGUCAAUCACCGAAUAAGCCACAAGACACAUAGAUUUUGAAUGUCUAUAUGAAUCUUCAGAGGAACUGACCUUGAAUGAUAAAGGAACAACCUAUUCCAACAACUGUGAACAGUGCUGUAGCAAACUACAAUAUCAGAACGAGCAACUAAAAAGAAAGCUCACGAGCAGGGCUGGAAACGUGACAUUUUUUAUGAACGUCAUAAGCUUACAAACUUUCACGCUGCUGCCCGAGCAGGAAAGUCAUAGACUAAUUUCAUGGUUGCUGCACGGCUCACAGAAACGAGGCUUGCUACUCCGCAAAUUGACAGUUUUCGGUGACGUCAGAGAAAUCGUUAAGAAAAACAAACGGAUUUCUCGAAAGUUGUUAAUUGAAAAUAUUUGAGCUCUUACGGUGGAAAAAAUAGUGUGCAAUGGAUUCUUGACGUAAAUUACGCCAUAAUUACACUAGACAUAGUGGAUAGUCAAUGCAUCUAUGUGAUUAUUAGCGUAAAUCGGCUGGCAUGCCAUAGAAAACGUAUCCCACCGUAAUUUUCUGUUCACAGCAAAGGUUUUGGACAUCGGCAUUGCUUCCUUGUGAUUUAUCAGGUGUCGAUUAUCUCUUAGCAGCAAACAAUACAUGAAUUUUAUGUAAUUGUUUUCGCCGACGAUUUCUAUGACGCGCGUUCGUCAAAUGUUUACACUCUAACGAGCUAGCCUAAUAUAUGUAAGCCGUGGGUUGGUGUACGUAUGAAUGUCGUUCAAUGAAUGUAAUCUCUUUGGUGUGCGUGAAUGCCGCCACACAGCAGUUUUGUUUCCCACCACCAAGGCUGGAAGAAGUCAUUUCGAAUUUCAUUGUAAUGCGAAAGUUCGGGAAAAAACCAACGCGACCGCCACGCUCCAAGUGUACCUAAAGCAUGUAAACGGACGAGAGAAAAGCAAAAACGUUCGUGCUGCUGAGCGUGCCUGUUACAUGUUCGUGAAGAUUCGGUUAUUCGACUUGCUGCCGUAGUUGGGUUUCGUUCGCUAGCUGUUGCGAAUGUAUGUGAAUGGCCCGUGUGUUUAACUUUCAUCAUCCGUUGCGUUGGAACUGUUGCAAAUAAAUUUCAUAGCAGCGGUUCAAAAUGAAUGUAGUGAGCGACAUUCAUGGCUUAUAUUUGCAAGAUUGGAAUGUGCGGCAGUCCUUUUUUCGCUUGCUAUAGGAAAGGACUGCAAGCAAAAUAUUAGCGGUCACAUAGUAUCGUUGAAGGGAAAGUUGUUGGCCAUUGAAAAUCUAUAGUUUUGUAUAUUUACAAUGCGCCGAUGCGUCAAAAUGGAAAUAUUUUCAACCUUUUAGUAAUGAGUUUUAGAUUGAAGGGGAAAUUGUUGGCCGUUGAAAAUCAAUAGUUUUGUACAUUUCCAAGGAGCAGGGGGGUCCGCCGAUGCGUCAAAAUGGAAAUGUUUUCAAGUUUUCAGUAAUGAGUUUUAUAUUGAAGGGGAAAUUGUUGACCGUUGAAAAGCAAUAGUUUUGACAUUUAUAAUGCGCAGGGGGUCCGCCGAUGCGCCAAAAUUGAUUUUUUUCCAACCAUUUGGUAAUGAGUUUUAUAUUGAAGGAGAAGUUGUUGGCCGUUGAAAAUCAAUAGUUUUAACAUUUACAAUGCGCAGGGGGGUCCGCUAAUGCGUGAAAAUGGAAAUAAUUUCAACUUUUUAGUAAUGAGUUUUAUAUUGAAGGGGAAAUUAUUGACCGUUGAAAAUCAAUAGUUUUGUACAUUUCCAAUGCGCAGGGGGUCCGCCGAUGCGUCAAAAUGAAAAUGUUUUCAAGUUUUCAGUAAUGAGUUUUAUAUUGAAGGGGAAAUUGUUGACCAUUGAAAAUCAAUAGUUUUGACAUUUACAAUGCGCAGGGGGGUCCGCUGGUGCGUCAAAAUGGAAAUGUUUUCAAGUUUUCAGUAAUGAGUUUUAUAUUGAAGGGGAAAUUGUUGAUCGUUGAAAAUCAAUAGUUUUGACAUUUACAAUGCGCAGGGGGGUCCGCUGGUGCGUCAAAAUGGAAAUGUAUUCAACUUUUUGGUAAUGAGUUUUAAAUUUGAAGGGGAAAUUGUUGGCCGUUAAAAAUCAAUAGUUUUGGGCAUUUACAAUGCACACGGGCAACCGCCAAUGUGACAUAAUGGAAUCUUUUUUAUGCAAUAGUAGCAUAUUGCUUAUUGUACGACCUGUGAUGUAUUUUUUCGAACAAUUUCCGCAAUAUGACUUUUAUUGAUUAGUUUUAAUUACAGUAAUGUAAUUUGUUCAACAAAACAUGACAUGUUUCAAUUACAAUACGUUUUCAAAGUAGUAGCUACUUUCUCCAGUUUUUUUUUUUCAUUUCGGUAUAGCGGUUGACGAGUUUCCACCAUUUUGUGAUUUAUAAUGGUAAUACAGUGAAGACCCGUUUUUAUCAGCCCAUUGGUGAAUUUUAGGCUGAUAAAACGGGGACAUUGACAAAAUCGAGAAAUAUAAUUUUCUUUCUCUUUUAUCAACCGAUGCUCUUAAAAUAUUCUUUUUUUGUCCGUAGAUACAGCCGCUUAACUCUUUUCGGAUCUCUAAGAUAAUAAAAAUAUGCUCAAGAAAGGAUUUACUCGAAAUCAACUUUGUUUAUCUGCUAGAGCCCAUCAAGCUGCUAACUAUCAAUUUCUUUUUUUUUCUUUUUUUCAUUUUUCUUUUGAUACGCAAUUCUUACUUCGACAUGGAUCUUUCAUGAGAGCCUAAAUCAAUGAUGCCGCAAGUACAGAUUUAUCUAGAAAGGUACAGAUUUCUGAAGCAUUUUUGGCACAGAUUCUGUACGGUAUCCAGGGAGUCGACUCAUUUCUGAAAAUGAAAUUCCCUGAUUUUCCAAGUUUUUCCAGACCUUUUUAUAAAUUUUCCAGAGUGCUCAAACAAAUCAAAUUAAAUUAACAUUUUUCAAUGUGUAUCGUUUGAGCUUACACCAUUUUUUCAUUUUUAGUUAGUUUUAAACUUUUUGUAUCUUCCAUUUCAAUUAAACCACUUUUGGUCUUUUAACUGUCAUGUAAUUUAAAUAUUUCCAAAUCUGAAAAAUUGUUACGAGGCUCGAGGGAUGACCGACAAGCAAAUGGAGGAGCUAGUGUUCUGGAAAAAUAAGCGGAUUGACAUUUUGGGAGUGAAUUUCCUCAUAGUGUUAUGUAUUUUAGUCUGUGUGGAAAUGGUGAUGAGUCUGGGAUCUUCCGUUAAUCUUUCGGCAGCCGCGCUGGUGCACUGAGUGCACGCUGCUCUGAAAAGCUAGCGAAUUGUGUUUGGGCAACUGCGGCUGCUCAUUCAGUGUCAUGCGCGACUUCCGGAGGGUUAAGUAGGCACCGUUUUAACAUACUCUAUUACAUUCCAAACACCCUUGAAGGUGGUCGUAACCCAUUCUUAGGUCAAUUUGCAAUGUAAAGUUUGUUCGCGACAAAAUAUGGAAACCUUAAAACACAUAGAUUCAACCAAAAAUGAUUUUUUUUUACAAAUAUGGACGUAUGUCUUUUUUAUCCAAAAAUACAUAAUUCGUUGACAUGUUAAAUGCGCUUUCAAAAAUGGGUCGAACGAAAUGCGAAUUAGAAAUAAUAUGUGCGGUCCAAACGGAAAUCAAAAGAUAUCUCAUUGGAAUAGUUCUAAAAAGCUUGGCUAAUCGGCAAGCUCUGUUCACACCGUUUCCAAAACGUCUAAUACUCGAUUGCCAUCAGCUACAUAUAAAAGAAAUGCAAAUUACAAUCUUAAGAAACGACGAAAUGGAUUCGAUAGUGAGACAAACAUUCUGCUCGUACACUAAUAAAAUAAUAAUAAAAUAAAAACGUCAAAUGUGUUUGUGUAUAAAACGAAGCAUCAUUAACGAACGAAGUCAUUGAAGGUAUUGAUUAUUCCGAAUUAUAGUGAUAGGCAGAAUAUGAGGGCUAAACACUUCUUCGAAAAUUGUAGCGUGGAUAUUCUACCAAUUUUUUCUGUGUGGCAAUGGAUUACAAAACUUGGACGUAGAAGACUUCAACCAUUCUUCAUGGUAUGUAACGAAAUGAAGUAUUAAAGUAAUUCUGAACGAUAGAGAAAUCUAAAUUUGUCAAGAAAUAUUUGGUAAAGCAGGGUGUUCUGCAACAGUGGGUGAACCAGUAAAAACUUCAUACCAACAGGAAGGUAUCCCAGAAUAUGUACUAAGAAGAUUGUUUCCAGCACUUUUUCACAACUUUAAAGUAAGGGCAUAAUUCAAGAAAAUAAUCACAAGAAAACACAUACAGGUCUGCGAACAAAUUAAUUUUGGUAAGUUUACUUGUGAUUUGAGACAAACAGUUUUUUAGUCUCUCAUUUGCCUGCUUAUGAUUUUUCCCACCAAUUCGUCAUUUCAGAAAUUAGGUACCCUCUAAAAUGCCGUUAAGAUCGUAUUCGUCCCAUGUUCUAUGAGAUUCCCUCUAUACUUAAGACAAUUAUGCGUUAAACGGUAGUGAAAAGGUCAGUUGAAAAUUCUAUCUUGGAAUAUAAUAAAUACAAACAAAUAAAUAAAUAAAGCGAUUUUUAAUG